GAGUUUGAUCGUGGCUCAGGAUGAACGCUGGCUGUGUGCCUAAUACAUGCAUGUCGAACGAAGCACUUGUGCUUAGUGGCAAAUGGGUGAGUAACACGUACUUAAUCUACCUUUAAGAUUGGAAUAACAUUUGGAAACAACUGCUAAUACCAAAUAUGUAAUCAUUUCGCAUGAAUUGAUUAUAAAAGAAGCGUUUGCUUCGCUUAACGAUGAGAGUGCGUUACAUUAGAUAGUUGGUAAGGUAAUGGCUUACCAAGUCAAUGAUGUAUAGCGGGGUCGAGAGGCUGAACCGCCACACUGGGACUGAGAUACGGCCCAGACUCCUACGGGAGGCAGCAGUAGGGAUAUUCCACAAUGAACGAAAGUUUGAUGGAGCGACACAGUGUGCAGGAUGACGGUCUUAGGAUUGUAAACUGCUGUUAUAAGAGAAGACAAGCUUGAUAGGAAAUGAUCAAGCCCUGACGGUACCUUAUCAGAAAGCACCGGCAAACUAUGUCG
rnacentral:rRNA from 1 species